AAGCUUAUGAUGCCAUUUUGUGACAACAUUAAUGAAGUUGUGAUUUAAAAUUUAUUUUAUUUUACUGAUCUU